rnacentral:rRNA from 1 species
AAUCAUGGCUCAGGAUGAACGCUAGCUACAGGCUUAACACAUGCAAGUCGAGGGGCAGCAUGAACUUAGCUUGCUAAGUUUGAUGGCGACCGGCGCACGGGUGAGUAACACGUAUCCAACCUUCCGUUUACUCAGGGAUAGCCUUUCGAAAGAAAGAUUAAUACCUGAUAGUAUGGUGAGAUUGCAUGAUAACACCAUUAAAGAUUUAUUGGUAAACGAUGGGAUGCGUUCCUACUUAGGUUAGG